GCUCAACCGAAGAAGUGCAUCGGAAACUGGGAAACUUGAGUGCAGAAGAGGACAGUGGAACUCCAUGUGUAGCGGUGAAAUGCGUAGAUAUAUGGAAGAACACCAGUGGCGAAGGCGGCUGUCUGGUCUGUAACUGACGCUGAGGCUCGAAAGUAUGGGUAGCAAACAGGAUUAGAUACCCUGGUAGUCCAUACCGUAAACGAUGAAUGCUAAGUGUUGGAGGGUUUCCGCCCUUCAGUGCUGCAGCUAACGCAUUAAGCAUUCCGCCUGGGGAGUACGGCCGCAAGGCUGAAACUCAAAGGAAUUGACGGGGGCCCGCACAAGCGGUGGAGCAUGUGGUUUAAUUCGAAGCUACGCGAAGAACCUUACCAGGUCUUGACAUACUAUGCAAAUCUAAGAGAUUAGACGUUCCCUUCGGGGACAUGGAUACAGGUGGUGCAUGGUUGUCGUCAGCUCGUGUCGUGAGAUGUUGGGUUAAGUCCCGCAACGAGCGCAACCCUUAUUAUCAGUUGCCAGCAUUCAGUUGGGCACUCUGGUGAGACUGCCGGUGACAAACCGGAGGAAGGUGGGGACGACGUCAAAUCAUCAUGCCCCUUAUGACCUGGGCUACACACGUGCUACAAUGGUCGGUACAACG
rnacentral:rRNA from 1 species